UUUGGUUUUUUGUCGAGCCGAGUCGCACACGGUUAGGCACGCUCACGCGCACUGCGUCGCGUUGCGUGGUGCGGCGACCGAACCACCCAAACGCGCCAUGUUUAUCCAAUGGGAUUACCCGCGGAGAAAUCCCACGCUCUCCACCGCCCCGCGCGCUACGGCGCCGGUGAGAUCGAAUCGCGGAGAGAGGGAGAGAGGAGGCGAUGGACGGCGGAGCGGAGCGGAGCGUCCUCAUCAUCCGCGGGCGUUUGCUAGGUAGGUGCAUCCGAUUUCCAUCGCUAGCUUGCGGCGAAUCGCCCUUGUGGAUCCUUGAGGCGAUGCCCUAAUCGCGCUUUGCAAUGCGGGCGGAUGUACAUGCGGCGGCUUCAAGGGGCGACGGUUGGAGGAGCAGCGGUGCCCGCAGGUGGUACCUCAUUUGGUAGUGCGCCGAGGGGUGAGACGAAAGUGAUGCAACUGCAAGCGGAUCGCUCGCCUCCUCCAAUCCUCGCAUAAAUCAACAGACCAUUUACCUUCAGAAGCUGGGGUCAUCUCUACACUGACUUCACUAGUUUUGUUAAGCAAUUCCCCAUCCCAUGGAGAACCAGGAAACAGAGUAAUAGCUCAAGGUCCAGGCAUGUCAUCAAGGGUUUGACAUCAUGACUCAAAUUGUUGGUGGCAUGUCAUUUCAGAGCGCUACAGCAAUCCCAGGAUGACAAAAUGAUCCAUUUAUUGAUGCUUAGCAACUCUGCUGGGGGCAUACCGUAUGAUUCCUCGUGAAGUGGAGUGGAUCAUGACGGUAUUGAAUUUUGAUUUCUCCUUGCUGCUUGACUUGUGUAAGAAGGCCCAGCCUAUGCAGCCGUGCGAGGUUUUGUAGGCCUUGGUUAGAACAUAGAAAUGGGCAGCGUCGUGCCCUUAGUUCAUAUAUACUAGUUUCUAAGAAAUUCAUAUAUAAGGAGUUUUCGCGAAAUCGCACCGUUUGAUAGACCAAAAGGCAUGGCGUUGGAUGGAAUAGUUGCAUUCCUUAGAAAAGGAUGCACCCUGUCUUUCAUCCUUUUUCCGAAAAAUAUUCUUCCUGUUUCUUAAUGUAUAAGGAUCAAAGGCGUCCUUCUUAUGGCAAAGGAUCGUGGCGUUGACGCUACAGUACUGUAUAACACUGCAGCUAAAGCACAUAAACAUGCAAUAGCAUGCAUGGGCCAACGCUCUUCAUGAUUGAUCAUUCAGCAUAUGCCAUA